GGAGGAAGCAGGGGAUCGCAAGACCUUGCGCUUUUGGAGCGGCCGAUGCCUGAUUAGCUUGUUGGUGAGGUAAAAGCUCACCAAGGCUCCGAUCAGUAGCUGGUCUGAGAGGACGACCAGCCACACUGGGACUGAGACACGGCCCAGACUCCUACGGGAGGCAGCAGUGGGGAAUUUUGGACAAUGGGGGCAACCCUGAUCCAGCCAUGCCGCGUGAGUGAAGAAGGCCUUCGGGUUGUAAAGCUCUUUCAGCCGGAACGAAACGGUCACGGUUAAUACCCGUGACUACUGACGGUACCGGAAGAAGAAGCACCGGCUAACUACGUGCCAGCAGCCGCGGUAAUACGUAGGGUGCGAGCGUUAAUCGGAAUUACUGGGCGUAAAGCGUGCGCAGGCGGUUUUGUAAGUCAGAUGUGAAAUCCCCGGGCUUAACCUGGGAACUGCGUUUGAAACUACAAAGCUAG
rnacentral:rRNA from 1 species